CCCGGCGCCCGCGAAUCUGUUGUUCGGUCAGCUUCCCAAGCUGAAUGUCGUCGGUUCGAUCCCGAUCGCCCGCUCCA
rnacentral:tRNA from 1 species